UUCAAUGAUGAUAUAUUAUUUUUACUAUUUUUCUGGUACCUCUUGUUUUAGGACCCUCUGCGGAGGGAACAAUGAACUCACGACACAUCUGAUU
rnacentral:snoRNA from 1 species